GAUGAACGCUGGCGGCGUGCCUAAUACAUGCAAGUCGAGCGAACUUUUGGGAGCUUGCUCCCAAAAGUUAGCGGCGGACGGGUGAGUAACACGUGGGUAACCUGCCUGUAAGACUGGGAUAACUUCGGGAAACCGGAGCUAAUACCGGAUAACAUUGAAGCCCACAUGGCCUUCAAUUAAAAGGUGGCUUUUAGCUACCACUUACAGAUGGACCCGCGGCGCAUUAGCUAGUUGGUGAGGUAACGGCUCACCAAGGCGACGAUGCGUAGCCGACCUGAGAGGGUGAUCGGCCACACUGGGACUGAGACACGGCCCAGACUCCUAAGGGAGGGAGCAGUAGGGAAACUUCCGCAAUGGACGGAAGGCUGACGGAGCAACCCCGCGUGAGCGGAGAAGGCCUUCGGGUCGGAAAGCUCUGUUGUGAGGGAAGGACAAGUAUCGUUCGAAUAGGGCGGUACCUUGACGGUACCUAAAGAGAAAGCCACGGCUAACUACGUG
rnacentral:rRNA from 1 species